CCCAGGUGCCGCGGUCCCGCAGCAUGACUGUGCCUCACAUGACCCGCCGCCUCCCUCCCCCUCCUCGGCUCCGCCGCGGAUUUAUUCACGUUAUUCACCACCUUCGUCUUCAUCCCCUCCCUCGGUCUAGAAUAUUCCUGUCGCCCUCCUCCUCCUGCCGUGCGCGGGGAAGCCGGCGGCGCCUCGCCCGUCCCUUUGUGCCGCCGGGGGUCCCCUCACACCCCGAAAUGGCCGCCGCCCCCCGGCCCUCACCCCCCUCAGGGGUCUCCAUGUCCCCUAGGGUGGCAGGAGGUCCCAGGGCUGCCACCACUCGCUGAGGUGGUGUGGGCGCAUCGAGGAGCUUGAGAAGGAAUGUACUGAAGCACUCUUUCAAAAAAUUGUUAACCUUCACAAGUAUUUUUUCUAUCAUUAAGUGAAAUUGAGGUCAAGUCCACUGCUCUUCUCUUGCUGUUUCAGUACUGGCGUUUUGUCAGGGAGGAAAGACCUCGUGGCCCUCCUCAGACGUAGUGAAGCUCGAUACAGCCCUCAGCCAUCUCCAUCCCCUCGUGGCUUCAGCUGUCCCGUGGCCAAAUCUUGGCUUCUCAACCUGGCGUGGCUGCUCUCUGAUCCCUGAAGGCUCUCGGUGCUCAUGCGUUGGCCAGGAGAUUUUCCAUAGCAUCUACAAACCUGUUAGCAUGCCUUGGGGAGCAUCCAGCAGCAAUGAUUCCAACACACAACGAAAGGUGCAAACCUUUGCUUUGCUGUGGUGAAACUAGCUGCUUCCAUUUGGAGAGCGUCCAACGUGUCCAGAACGGAUCCGAGUAAAUCUGACGGGGUGUGACACACGUUGUUUUCCCUGGUGGAAGCGAGCCAAGCAAGGAGGCAUUCGCAGACAGAGCCUGUGGGUACCUUCAACCCUCGAGGAGUUUGGCAAUCCCAAGAGCCUGGGCACGUCUCUUCUUGGAAAGACAGGGGAAAGAGAAGUAGAUGAUACGAGAUGAUAACUUAAUGCAACGAUUGCUGGUUGUCUGCAGAGAAGCAUAAACGUGACCCAGGGUCUGGAGUAAAGCCAAGAAAACUGCUGAGAAGACAGAUCCUUGUUAUCACGUGCUGCGGGUCAUUGGGGACCCACUGCAGAGCCCAGCUGUGCUGUGGGCUCUGUUUCUGCAGGAACCAGUGUCUCCCUGUGUAGACGCCACGUUAUGAGACACCAGGAGUCAGUACUUGGCAGCUCCUCAGUUGGGAGAAAGAUUCUUGCAAUCAAAAACUGUAGGCAUGAGGGGACGUGGUGUGAAGGAGCUCUUGGCCUCUCCCGGCCCCAUCCGUGACUGACACGGGGCAAAUGCAGCGAUUUAACCCGGCUCUCCCUCCCGCACCGGCUGCCAGUGGAAAGAGCCGUGACUCGGGGCUGACCGGGUCACCGCCAAAAGAAGGAACGACCUUGUCAACUUUAUCAUCGUAUCUAGUUACGUGGCGCGGGAAGAGGCCAAAAUCACCCCCUCCCCUUGCCGGUUUGCUCAUUAGUGGUUCACAGGACAGGCUUGACCCUUGUUUCCCCUGCAGACGCCUCUGCCACGGACCGAAGCGGGUCUGAGGCUCGCGUGGCAUGCAGGGCCAAGCCCUGGGGCAUGCUCCUGGCUGGGCCCAGGUGGAGCUGGUGACCAGGGUGGUUUUCUUGGGGAAGAGCUGCAGGCGAGAUGCCUCAGCCAGGUCACCAAGCUGCUGAGAUGAAAGCGAGAGGGGCUGCAGCCGUUCUGCCCCCCGAGAUGGUGGUUUGGGGUGCUUCUGCCCUGUGUUAUUCCCUGCCAGUUCACAGCUGUUCCCUGCAGUGUGUGUGGUAUUCGCAGAUUAUUGUCACAUAAAUAUUUCCCUCUCCAGGCGAACACAGAUAAAGCCUCUGUGAUCCAGGCUUUCAUCUGCCACUGCUAGGCAACCAGGCUCUCCAUUCCCAAACACUGAAAAGUCCAAGGCGCUUCACAGCGGAGCUGGAAGUGGCCACUACAGGGUCCUUCUUGCCCGCACAGACACUUUCCAAGAGCUGUUUUGUUCCAGCAGCAAAAUCAGGAGACCCUCUCCAAGAACGAGCCUCGCAAGCAGGUGCCUGGGAGAGAGAGCUCUGCCAAGUGCAGUGGUGACUGGGUAGACAUGAUUUUUUGGACCCUGUAAGGGUUUAAUGAAGAGCAGAGAGUAAAAUGGUAUAUUAAAAUAUUGACAUAUGGGUAACUCCCGCGUUACACCCUAGUCAAAGCACUUAGCAGCAGAACUGCAUAGAGUCUGGCAUUGCAAAGGACCAUCCCCUCCAAAGAGGACAAUUCCCAUCAGACCUUACAGUCCCCUUCGUGAGGUAUCAGUUAUUUAUCCUGUGCACUCCAAAAGUCAGCGGGUCCUUCUGAUACGCGAGAAGACUGCUAAACAAGCUGCUGAUCAGGCCGGUGAGAUGUCAGUCUUCCCCCAUGGGAUGCUGUCUGUGAUUUCAUCCAGGAGCUGGGCAAGGAGAAAAGGUGCUGGUCCUCACAGAUUUUCCUUCUGAUGCUCACCUGCACGGCCAGCUUCUCCAGGGCAUCCUUCCCCUGCCGAGCAGCUCCACUCAAACGUAACUGCUGUCCUUCUUCCUCACGUACGGCAAACUAGAUUAAAUUCCUCAUGAAAUUAACUAGCGAUCUCUCACAAUUA